rnacentral:tmRNA from 1 species
GGGGGCGAAUUGGAUUCGACCGGAUAGCAGAAGUGUCGGUGGCGUGUCGUGGUUGAUCAGUUGGCCACGUUAAAAGCUGAUCACUAAAUUUAUUUGCCGAAGGUAACUUCGCACUGGCUGCCUAAGAAUAGGCAACCCCGGCUGAGGAGGUUUGUUGGAGACGUCCAAAAGCUGGUCACCAAUUCCAUCUAGUUUAAAGUCAUGUCGAGCACGCUUUGAGCGAAAUUAAGUUCUCGGAUAAGCUUUGCUAGACCCGGUCGACAGGGGUUAGCAAGCCGACAAUUAAACAGUCGACUACACACGUAGAAGCCUCCACGGAAAUAUCGCGGGACGCGGGUUCGAUCCCCGCCGCCUCCACUG